rnacentral:tRNA from 1 species
GGUGAGAUGGCCGAGUUGGUUAUGGCGUCAGGUUAAGGCUACCUUAGCACCGACCUCCUGAUGGAGCAAUCCUCCUGGGUUCGAGUCCCAGUCUCAUCA